rnacentral:lncRNA from 1 species
AAGCUUACCACCUGCACCCGGAGAGCUGUGUCACCAUGUGGGUCCCGGUUGUCUUCCUCACCCUGUCCGUGACGUGGAUUGGUGCUGCACCCCUCAUCCUGUCUCGGAUUGUGGGAGGCUGGGAGUGCGAGAAGCAUUCCCAACCCUGGCAGGUGCUUGUGGCCUCUCGUGGCAGGGCAGUCUGCGGCGGUGUUCUGGUGCACCCCCAGUGGGUCCUCACAGCUGCCCACUGCAUCAGGAAGUGAGUAGGGGCCUGGGGUCUGGGGAGCAGGUGUCUGUGUCCCAGAGGAAUAACAGCUGGGCAUUUUCCCCAGGAUAACCUCUAAGGCCAGCCUUGGGACUGGGGGAGAGAGGGAAAGUUCUGGUUCAGGUCACAUGGGGAGGCAGGGUUGGGGCUGGACCACCCUCCCCAUGGCUGCCUGGGUCUCCAUCUGUGUUCCUCUAUGUCUCUUUGUGUCGCUUUCAUUAUGUCUCUUGGUAACUGGCUUCGGUUGUGUCUCUCCGUGUGACUAUUUUGUUCUCUCUCUCCCUCUCUUCUCUGUCUUCAGUCUCCAUAUCUCCCCCUCUCUCU